UACGGGGGGAGCAAGCGUUGUUCGGAUUUACUGGGCGUAAAGGGCGCGUAGGCGGUCAGCACAGGUCAGUUGUGAAAUCUCCGGGCUUAACUCGGAAAGGUCAACUGAUACUGUGCGACUAGAGUGCGGAAGGGGCAACUGGAAUUCUCGGUGUAGCAGUGAAAUGCGUAGAUAUCGAGAGGAACACCUGCGGCGAAGGCGGGUUGCUGGGCCGACACUGACGCUGAUGCGCGAAAGCCAGGGGAGCGAACGGG
rnacentral:rRNA from 1 species